GAUGAAGAACGUAGCGAAAGGCGAUAAGUAAUGUGAAUUGCAGAAUUCAGUGAAUCAUCGAAUCUUUGAACGCACCUUGCACUCCUUGGUAUUCCGAGGAGUACGCCUGUUCGAGUGUUAUGAAGCUCUCAAAACGCAAUUGGCUUAAAACCUGAUUGUUGUUUUGGAUUUGAACUUUGCCGUGUUAUAACGGCUGGUUUUAAAAGUAUUAGCUGGUACUAGAACGAAUUGGUUCUACUCAACGUGAUAAUUAUCUGAUCGUUGAGGACAUUCCUUUCACGAGGAAUGGCCAUAGUAAAUUCAAUGGACUGCUUCUAAUCUGGCUUUAAUUCUUUAUUGGAUUAACCACUUUUCAAAUCUGACCUCGAAUCAGGUGGGACUACCCGCUGAACUUAAGCAUAUCAAUAAGCGGAGGA
rnacentral:misc_RNA from 1 species